rnacentral:rRNA from 1 species
AGAUUGAACGCUGGCGGCAUGCUUUACACAUGCAAGUCGAACGGUAACAGGCCGCAAGGUGCUGACGAGUGGCGAACGGGUGAGUAAUGUAUCGGAACGUGCCCAGUCGUGGGGGAUAACGCAGCGAAAGCUGCGCUAAUACCGCAUACGAUCUAUGGAUGAAAGCGGGGGACCGUAAGGCCUCGCGCGAUUGGAGCGGCCGAUAUCAGAUUAGGUAGUUGGUGGGGUAAGGCUACACCAAGCCAACGAUCUGUAGCUAGGUCUGAGAGGACGACCAGCCACACUGGGACUGAGACACGGCCCAGACUCUACGGG